rnacentral:rRNA from 1 species
UGAACGCUAGCGGCAGGCUUAAUACAUGCAAGUCGAGGGGUAACGACAUCUUCGGAUGGGCGACGACCGGCGCACGGGUGCGUAACACGUAUGCAACCUACCUUUAACUGGGGAAUAGCCCCGAGAAAUCGGGAUUAACACCCCAUAAUAUUCAUCUUUCGCAUGUCUGAUGAAUUAAAACUCCGGUGGUUAAAGAUGGGCAUGCGCGACAUUAGUUAGUUGGUGAGGUAACGGCUCACCAAGACAGCGAUGUCUAGGGGUUCUGAGAGGAACAUCCCCCACACUGGUACUGAGACACGGACCAGACUCCUACGGGAGGCAGCAGUAAGGAAUAUUGGUCAAUGGGCGAAAGCCUGAACCAGCCAUGCCGCGUGCAGGAUGACAGCCCUAUGGGUUGUAAACUGCUUUUAUAUAGGAAGAAACUUUCGUACGUGUACGAAACUGACGGUACUAUAUGAAUAAGGACCGGCUAACUCC